CACCUGGACCUGGACCUGGACCCUCACCUGGACCUGGACCUGGACCCUCACCUGGACCUGGACCUGGACCCUCACCUGGACCUGGACCCUCACCUGGACCCGGACCUGGACUCGGACCUGCCUGACGCUCUCAGAGCAGCAGUGACGUCAACACAGAUUGAUCACCACGAGGAUUGAGGGAUACCAGUGUCACCACCAGGCAGGCAAUUACCUGUUGACUGUCUGAGAGAGGACAUGUGUAUCUACUGACUGCACACACACUUCAUGUAGAGCAGGUAUGAGUCAGUGUGUGUGUGUUUGGUUCCUUUGGUUUGAGUCAUUGGCAGCAGCAGCUCGAGGACGUUUGCACAGCAGUGACUGGAGUGCAAGUGAGUGCCUGCGAUGUGGUCCCCAUUCGGUUCAUUAGGUAUACAGACCUGACAGAGCAAACUCAUUCAGGAUGGAUCAGCUUAACCAGCGGACACACAGACACACACACAUAAACACACACACACACACACACACACACACACAUACACCUGCCAUGACUAUUACAUUUUAUUAAUAUUUUUGUAAUUUUUGCUGUCGAGAGCUUUUCUAAUGAGAAACAAGUACUUUGAAUCUGAAUGCUGAGGCUAUUUGUCAAGGCUUGGGUCUGGUUGCAAAGGGCAGUUUGCAUGUGCAGGUACCUUUAAAGUCGCAUAUCCCACUGUCUUGGAUGCAGAGGUUAUUUUAGGAUUUAUGUUUUGAAAUUUGUAAUUAAACAAAUACAUGUCAA